AUCUAUGGCUAUCCCACCCUGAAAGUACUGAUCUUUUCUAAUCUCAGAGGCCAAGCAGGGUUGGCCCUGGUUAGUACUUGAAUGGAAGACCACCUGGGAAUUCUGGGGGCUGUAGGCU
ensembl:rRNA 5S_rRNA 5S ribosomal RNA